GGGCGGGGUUAGAAAGGGAGGACUUUUGCUACAGACAAGAGAUCUACAAGCUGUUUUAAAAUAUACUUUAAUGAAAAAAAAUUCAUAAAUAAAUAAAUACAUGGAUCAAGGGGCGUACCUAGAGCAAUUGGUACCUGGGGCGGGUCCUAUUUUUGCCGCCCUCCUUUAAUUUUUUUCAAGUUUUCUUUUUAAAUUUAGCACUAAGUGUUUCGGUGUUUGUGAGUGUAAGCAUGUUUUUGUAUGGAGUAUGUGUAAGUGAAUGUAGGGUGUGUGUUUGUAUGUGGUGUUGGAGUUUGAAUGCAGGCAUGCAUUUUUAUGUAGUGUGGUUUUUUGAAUGCAGUGGUGUGGUUAUAUAUAAUGGUGGGGUUUGUGUGUAGUGUGUGGUUGAAAUGCAGGGGUGUAUUUGUGUGUAGUGUUAGCGAGAUUCUGAGAUGUAUACACAUACACACAUACAGACACACAUGCAGACACAGUGGCAACUCUAGGAACAAUAUAUAGGGGGAGGGCACUACAAAACUGGGGGUAGCACUAAAACCUUUCACUAGGGGAUGGAGUAACACGUUGGCAUCAGUCAAAAAAUUUGCAUAUAAUUCACAUUAUCUAAU